CAGAUUGAUAGCUUGCUAUCAAUGCUGACGAGCGGCGGACGAGGUGAGUAAUGCCUGGGAAUAUACCCUGAUGUGGGGGAUAACUAUUGGAAACGAUAGCUAAUACCGCAUAAUCUCUUCGGAGCAAAGAGGGGGACCUUCGGGCCUCUCGCGUCAGGAUUAGCCCAGGUGGGAUUAGCUAGUUGGUGGGGUAAUGGCUCACCAAGGCGACGAUCCCUAGCUGGUCUGAGAGGAUGAUCAGCCACACUGGAACUGAGACACGGUCCAGACUCCUACGGGAGGCAGCAGUGGGGAAUAUUGCACAAUGGGGGAAACCCUGAUGCAGCCAUGCCGCGUGUAUGAAGAAGGCCUUCGGGUUGUAAAGUACUUUCAGUUGUGAGGAAGGC
rnacentral:rRNA from 1 species